CGAAUUAGUCGGAUGCGGCAGACCCGAAGCUGAGUGAUCUAUCCAUGGGCAGGCUGAAGCGGGGGUAAGACCUCGUGGAGGGCCGAACCCACGUCGGUUGAAAACGGCGGGGAUGACCUGUGGAUCGGAGUGAAAGGCUAAUCAAACUCAGUUAUAUCUGGUUCUCCCCGAAAUAUAUUUUGGUAUAGCCUCAUGCGUUCAAUUCCGGCUGUAAAGCACUGUUUGGCCUAGGGGCCCUACCAGGUUACCGAAGUCAUAUAAACUCUGAAUACCGGAAUUCCAGAGCAUGGGAGUCAGACGGCGGGGGAUAAGCUUCGUCGUCGAAAGGGAAACAGCCCAGACCGUCAGCUAAGGACCCAAAGCGAUAGCUAAGUGGCAAACGUUGUACGAAUGCAUAGACAACCAGGAUGUUGGCUUAGAGGCAGCCAUACGUUGAAAGAGUGCGUAAUAGCUCACUGGUCAAGUGUUCGUGCGCGGAUAAUGUAACGGGGC
rnacentral:rRNA from 1 species